GUCCUGAAUCGCAUCGGGACCGCUUGUAGCAUAGAUGGCAGCAUUGUUCUCGGCUGUCACCGUAAGGUGCUGCCACCGCGGGUGCGCGGUCGUUUUGGGAACUGCAUUACAACCAAGCUGCGUUAAAUGAGUGAUUUAUACUAUCUCGAUUAGUAUUUCACAUUGGAAUAUCGUAGUGAAAUUAUUUGAUACGUUUUCUCCAAGUGUGACCGAUUGCAUUUGGUAAAAGGCGUAUUUAAAUUUGUUUAUUGUCGGCCGGUUUCGUCUGCCCAUACUUGUUAUUUUUGCGUGUCACCAGCUGACCGGCCUUGUGCGCAAUUCGACACGAAACCCGGCGAAGGAAGACACCUUGGAUGUCGUUCCUAACCCUUCCUGAACUGGAGAGGGACGACUUCUGGAUGCAGCAGUCCUGGACGACGAUCUGGUGGACUGCAGGAGCCGGCAUGCCUCCAACGGCGGGGCUGGCGACCUGGCGGAGUCGGUCGCGGCGAGCUGCUGUGUGCGUCGCCUGCGGAGUCGCCGCCGGCGCGAGGUCAGCUGCGGCGAACUGGUCUGCCUGUGGAGUGGCCGCCGGCACGGGGCGGCCCCGGCGAGCUGCUGUCUGCUGUGCCUGUGUCGCCUGCGGGGUGGCCGUGGGCACGGAGUCGGCCACUGCCGAUUUAGGUCGCUCUCAGAAUAGUGACUUAGUGAUGACGCUGACUGUGCAUAUCAGGCUGGAGGCGGUGCGGGUGUUAAGUCUGACCCUGGCGGCGUCUCUGGAACUGCGGCGAGCUGCCGGUUGCGGCGGCUGGUGCUUCGGCCACGGCGCGUGGUACUGUCUGCUGAGCCAGACACGGGAAGGUCGGCUGCAGCGAGUCGACUGGUCUCCCUGGCUGCCGGCUGAGUCGUGGACAACAGUCGACAGCUGCAGUGGCAGCGAGACUGGGAUGUGUACCGUGCGCGAUCACUGACGCGUGUGUACCGUGUGCGAUCACUCAGGUGACGUUGCGUCACCGGGGGGAGGAUGUGAUGGUCCUGAAUCGCAUCGGGACCGCUUGUAGCAUAGAUGGCAGCAUUGUUCUCGGCUGUCACCGUAAGGUGCUGCCACCGCGGGUGCGCGGUCGUUUUGGGAACUGCAUUACAACCAAGCUGCGUUAAAUGAGUGAUUUAUACUAUCUCGAUUAGUAUUUCACAUUGGAAUAUCGUAGUGAAAUUAUUUGAUACGUUUUCUCCAAGUGUGACCGAUUGCAUUUGGUAAAAGGCGUAUUUAAAUUUGUUUAUUGUCGGCCGGUUUCGUCUGCCCAUACUUGUUAUUUUUGCGUGUCACCAGCUGACCGGCCUUGUGCGCAAUUCGACACGAAACCCGGCGAAGGAAGACACCUUGGUAGGUUAUUUGGAUAUUUUGGACAUGAAAUGCUACUUGUCGCUUCGUUGGUUGUUGAUAUGCACUAAUUAACUCCGGUGUGAGGUUCAAAAGUAUUUAGUUUGGAUAUAUGCCCAUAGAUAUGUCAGAUACUGCUGAUACCGAAAUGAAUGAGACGAUUUAUGGCGCACACCGGUGUAAAAGGGCCUGUUAUUUGUGUAUUUUACAGGAACCUACAACUAAACUACUGAUCUACGAUCUCUCAACAAACUACAGACUGCAUCUGUCUACUGUCCAUAUGUCUCUUCUAUUCUAAUGCCCAAUACAUUUAUUUCCAUUUA
rnacentral:lncRNA from 1 species